rnacentral:rRNA from 1 species
AUUGAACGCUGGCGGCAUGCCUUACACAUGCAAGUCGAACGGCAGCACGGGUGCUUGCACCUGGUGGCGAGUGGCGAACGGGUGAGUAAUACAUCGGAACAUGUCCUGUAGUGGGGGAUAGCCCGGCGAAAGCCGGAUUAAUACCGCAUACGAUCCACGGAUGAAAGCGGGGGACUUUCGGGCCUCGCGCUAUAGGGUUGGCCGAUGGCUGAUUAGCUAGUUGGUGGGGUAAAGGCCUACCAAGGCGACGAUCAGUAGCUGGUCUGAGAGGACGACCAGCCACACUGGGACUGAGGCACGGCCCAGACUCCUACGGGAGGCAGCAGUGGGGAAUUUUGGACAAUGGGCGAAAGCCUGAUCCAGCAAUGCCGCGUGUGUGAAGAAGGCCUUCGGGUUGUAAAGCACUUUUGUCCGGAAAGAAAUCCUUGACUCUAAUACAGUCGGGGGAUGACGGUACCGGAAGAAUAAGCACCGGCUAACUACGUG